rnacentral:rRNA from 1 species
AUGGCUCAUGCGACCAAGGUAUUCAUCUCCUCUUUCGCUGGCCGAGACAAUGAUCAUCACUCUGCCGGGUUUGCCACUGCCGCUGCUGUUCGAAGAUUCGAGAGGCUUGCGGACGGUGCUGAUGAAUUUAUUAGAUAUGUGCAGCUCGGCGGGACACCACGACGACCACACCUGUUCUUUGACCCUCUCAUUGGGCAUAUCUUUGCAGGCAGAUCUUUGAUUUAUCAUGUGUUGCAUCCGGGAGGCCAGUUUCACGUAUUCGGCAUACGGCCAAUGGGGUUCGAGGAGCGAGGGUUGGAGGUCAUCCUAUCCUUCGUGUAUCAAGAUUGCAAGGUGCCCAAGAACAGUUUCCGCCUCGGGUUCAUGUUGCGUGUUUCCGAGAGUAUAGACAUAAUAGGAACUUCAAUCAAGUGCUUGCGACUCGUGACGCCUCACUUCAAAUCCCUAGCUGAAAUUGCCAUCAACGAGAUCAGGCAGCUCCCCACACAAGAUUUCUUCUGUGUGCCACAAGAGGUUGCGGAUUCACAUCUGGAACAUUGGAAUCACAUCCACACAACUUUGACUAGAUGGUUCCGACCAGAUCCGUUAUGCUGUCAAGGAUACGAGUCACAUGACGAUAUGCCUUCUUGUGGCGGCGGCAAAUUGAGAAUUUCAAGCAUCUUUCCAGAAACAGUCUGCCAAGUGUUUUUGCAGCGUCAAAUCUCAGUAUCCGAGUACAAUAGUCAAUUGCAUAGAUCAACCGCAGCAACUGGUAAUGCUGACACAUCUACUUCUCCGGAGAUUUUCCCACCUUUGAAGCUAGUGAUUUUAUUAAUGCCUCAUCACCCAUAGGAGGAUCCUAAGUCCACAAGCGAGGACUCUGCGAUAGAGGCGAUCGAUGGAGAGAAGCAACACCUCACCCAUGUAAAUGUUCACCCGCACCAACUCGAUGAGAUCCUUCUCCCGAAGGCAAUAGAUUAUCUUCAUCAUAACACCGAGGCUACAAAUUACCAGAUAUGUUGGACAUCUAACCAUGGCAGUGCACACCUAUACGUGGAGAAGACAAGGAUGGUCGGGGCAUGCAUGGACGUCACAACCACAAGAAGAGCUGUUUGUAAGAUGCUUCAUCAGGAGCAGCACGAUAGACGAAUAGGGAAAGUGCAGAUGAAGCUGGUAGCUACAUAUCUCCUCAAACUAUGGGUUGUGAGUUCUUCGGAGAGGCUGCAGAGUUUGUUUUCGGCAUGGAUCGACUAG